rnacentral:rRNA from 1 species
AGCAGCCGCGGUAAUUCCAGCUCCAAUAGCGUAUAUUAAAGUUGUUGCAGUUAAAAAGCUCGUAGUUGAAUUUCGGGAUCAGUACGCUGGUCAUGCCUUUGGUAUGCACUGGUGUCACUGGUUUCUCCCUUCUGAAGAUCCGUGAUGUCAUUAAUUUGGUGUCGCGGGGAAUCAGGACUGUUACUUUGAAAAAAUUAGAGUGUUUAAAGCAGGCAUACGCUUGAAUACAUUAGCAUGGAAUAAUGAAAUAGGACGUUUGAUUCUAUUUUGUUGGUUUCUAGGAUCGACGUAAUGAUUAAUAGGGAUAGUUGGGGGCAUUAGUAUUCAAUUGUCAGAGGUGAAAUUCUUGGAUUUAUUGAAGACUAACUACUGCGAAAGCAUUUGCCAAGGAUGUUUUCAUUAAUCAAGAACGAAAGUUAGGGGAUCGAAGACGAUCAGAUACCGUCGUAGUCUUAACCAUAAACUAUGCCGACUAGGGAUCGGAUGAUGUUAUUUUUAAUGACUCA